GGCGAUCGCCUGGGGGAAACACCCGAUCCCAUUCCGAACUCGGUCGUGCCCCCCCAGCGCGCGGAUGGUACUGCCGGGGCGACCCGGUGGGAGAGUACGUGCCGCCGACC
rnacentral:rRNA from 1 species